UUUAUUGGAGAGUUUGAUCCUGGCUCAGGACGAACGCUGGCGGCGUGCCUAAUACAUGCAAGUCGAGCGGAAUCGAUGGAGUGCUUGCACUCCUGAGAUUUAGCGGCGGACGGGUGAGUAACACGUAGGCAACCUGCCCUCAAGACUGGGAUAACUACCGGAAACGGUAGCUAAUACCGGAUAGGAUAUUUGGCUGCAUGGCCGGAUAUGGAAAGGCGGAGCAAUCUGUCACUUGAGGAUGGGCCUGCGGCGCAUUAGCUAGUUGGUGGGGUAAUGGCCUACCAAGGCGACGAUGCGUAGCCGACCUGAGAGGGUGAACGGCCACACUGGGA
rnacentral:rRNA from 1 species